rnacentral:siRNA from 1 species
GAGCAAUGUUAUAACUGC